rnacentral:rRNA from 1 species
GCUCCCCGAUGUUUGCGGCGGACGGGUGAGUAACACGUGGGUAACCUGCCUGUAAGACUGGGAUAACUCCGGGAAACCGGGGCUAAUACCGGAUGGUUGUUUGAACCGCAUGGUUCAGACAUAAAAGGUGGCUUCGGCUACCACUUACAGAUGGACCCGCGGCGCAUUAGCUAGUUGGUGAGGUAACGGCUCACCAAGGCGACGAUGCGUAGCCGACCUGAGAGGGUGAUCGGCCACACUGGGACUGAGACACGGCCCAGACUCCUACGGGAGGCAGCAGUAGGGAAUCUUCCGCAAUGGACGAAAGUCUGACGGAGCAACGCCGCGUGAGUGAUGAAGGUUUUCGGAUCGUAAAGCUCUGUUGUUAGGGAAGAACAAGUGCCGUUCAAAUAGGGCGGCACCUUGACGGUACCUAACCAGAAAGCCACGGCUAACUACGUGCCAGCAGCCGCGGUAAUACGUAGGUGGCAAGCGUUGUCCGGAAUUAUUGGGCGUAAAGGGCUCGCAGGCGGUUUCUUAAGUCUGAUGUGAAAGCCCCCGGCUCAACCGGGGAGGGUCAUUGGAAACUGGGGAACUUGAGUGCAGAAGAGGAGAGUGGAAUUCCACGUGUAGCGGUGAAAUGCGUAGAGAUGUGGAGGAACACCAGUGGCGAAGGCGACUCUCUGGUCUGUAACUGACGCUGAGGAGCGAAAGCGUGGGGAGCGAACAGGAUUAGAUACCCUGGUAUUCCACGCCGUAAACGAUGAGUGCUAAGUGUUAGGGGGUUUCCGCCCCCUAGUGCUGCAGCUAACGCAGUAAGCACUCCGCCUGGGGAGUACGUUCGCAAGACUGAAACUCAAA